rnacentral:lncRNA from 1 species
AUUUUUUAAGCUGCUGGAUACCAGGUGCUACCUGACACCAGCUCAUCCCCUGCCUCUAGAGUCCUGGAGGGCUUUGAGUUGAUCACUUUCCACUCCAGGAAUGUUAUAAGAAACCGCUCAGAAAGGUGAUUGCAAAUCUAUGGAUGAGACCAAGGGAGAAUUUUCACGCCAUCAUAGCAUUUUAUUCCUCACCUGACUGGGAGCAGCUCGAAGGGAAGGACAUGUCUCCAAAGACAUGAGGAGUAUUCAACGUGGCAUUCGAGGCGCAAGGAAAAACCUGCCUAUCCCAAGAUCUCAGCCCCAUCAGCCAGCCAAGGGAUCCACAAUGACCCUUAUGAAGUUUCAUAAGGAAGCUAAUUGCUUAAAUGAGAUUUGAGUCAAGAAGGAUGACCUAGCAAUAACCUCUAUAUAUCUCAUUAUGCCAAAACUUAAAUGGCUACAUAAGAGGACAGUCCAGUGACAGACAUGGAAAGAGGCUUAGAGGUCAUCUCAUUCAUCACACCAUUUUACAGAGGAAAGCAAAAUGCCAUCCAGAGAAGGAAAGUCACAAAGCCAUCUAACCCCAGACCUGGGAGUAGCAGCUGAUCACAGCGGGUCGGACACAAGAAGCUGCUUCCAAAAAUCUUUCCUUCCAUUUGUCCUACAGAGAAGACAUCAGAAAACAAAAUUUUAUAAGCAUGUCUCUAGCUCUAACUCACUAUUCAACUAAAGGACAAAUUAAAUAGGGAAUGAGAUAACCUUAACUUCAUGAGAUUUGUUCUUAUAUGCAGUUUUCUACCCUGAGAAACCAAUCUAUGCUAAAGAUAAUAUUUGUGCUUUUCAAUGAGGCUGGUAAAAUAUUUGCACUUUGAAGCUCAGAGCGAUAACAUUUAUUCAUUCGGGUGAAACUUAUCAGGAUUAGGUAAAUAUAAUCGAAGCAAAACAAAAAUGAUUUGGGAAACUUUGUGACCAAAACCAACAGGCGUAUUCAGUACUCCUUUGAAGGUCACCUAAUUCUAAUAACAUUUAUAUUUAUAAAUGUCCUCUAAGUCUUUUAUCUUCUGCAAAUAAAUUAUUUCUCACAA